rfam:Turicibacter sp. H121, complete genome.
CUCUUAUCACGAGAGGCGGAGGGACAGGCCCAAUGAUGCCCGGCAACCAAUCAGUCAUGAUACGGUGCCAAUUCCUGCAGACAUUGUCUGAAAGAUAAGGG